GGACCAAGGAGUCUAGCAUGUGACCGAGUUUUUCGGCGUUAAACCCGAAGAGCGUAGUGAAAGCGUUUGCCGUUCGUUUGUCUUCGGACAGGCGUGACGUACAUUGCACUAGCAGAGAUGAUGGUAGCCGCGACCGGUUGCUCGCAAUCUCGGGGUGGUCUCGUUUUCGGAUUUCGGUCCGAAAGAGCCAUACUCGUAGGUCACACGCUAAGCCCCGAAAGAUGGUGAACUAUGCCUGACAAGGACGAAGUCUGGGGAAACCCUGAUGGAGGUCCGUAACGCUUCUGACGUGCAAAUCGAUCGGCAUAGUCGGGUAUAGGGGCGAAAGACCAAUCGAACCAUCUAGUAGCUGGUUCCUUUCGAAGUUUCCUUCAGGAUAGCUAGACGUGAUUAGUAAUGCGUGCCUCGCGCACGCUCUACGUAGUCACAUGCGGUAAAGCGAAUGAUUAGAAGUAUUGGGGCCGAAACGGCUUCAACUUAUUCUCAAACUUUCAAUGUGUGUGCCCCGUGGGCUUUCAUAAACGCGUCUCUCUCUCACGAGAGAGACCGAAGCUCCGGACAGAUAUAACACGUCUAAGUGGGCCAUUUUUGGUAAGCAGAACUGGCGAUGUGGGAUGAACCAAGCAACAAGUUAAAGUGCCUAAGCCGACGCUUAUGAGAUACCAAAAAAGGCGUUAGUAACUAAAGACAGCAGGACGGUGGCCAUGGAAGUCGGA
rnacentral:rRNA from 1 species